rnacentral:rRNA from 1 species
UACGAAGGGGGCUAGCGUUGCUCGGAAUCACUGGGCGUAAAGCGCACGUAGGCGGAUUGCUAAGUCAGGGGUGAAAUCCUGGAGCUCAACUCCAGAACUGCCCUUGAUACUGGCGGUCUCGAGUCCGGGAGAGGUGAGUGGAACUGCGAGUGUAGAGGUGAAAUUCGUAGAUAUUCGCAGGAACACCAGUGGCGAAGGCGGCUCACUGGCCCCGUACUGACGCUGAGGUGCGAAAGCGUGGGGAGCAAACAGG